rnacentral:rRNA from 1 species
UACGUAGGGGGCUAGCGUUGUCCGGAAUCAUUGGGCGUAAAGAGCGUGUAGGCGGUCCGGUAAGUCCGCUGUGAAAGUCGGGGGCUCAACCCUCGAAUGCCGGUGGAUACUGUCGGGCUAGAGUGCGGAAGAGGCGAGUGGAAUUCCCGGUGUAGCGGUGAAAUGCGCAGAUAUCGGGAGGAACACCUAUGGCGAAGGCAGCUCGCUGGGACGGUACUGACGCUGAGACGCGAAAGCGUGGGGAGCGAACAGG